UCACAAUAUCAAGCUUGGCUUGUUGUUGGGCCCUUUGUCACCUGGUGACAGGUCCAAAAGACAAUAACUGGUGUCAUACAGACUCUAUAUGCAACGAGCUUAUAACAGCACGCAUCUGGUGGUUGUGUGGCCCAGUUUUCACUUUAAAUUUCUCAA
rnacentral:misc_RNA from 1 species